rnacentral:rRNA from 1 species
AACGAACGCUGGCGGCAGGCCUAACACAUGCAAGUCGAACGCGUCCUUCGGGACGAGUGGCAGACGGGUGAGUAACGCGUGGGAACGUACCCUUUGGUUCGGAACAACGCCGGGAAACUGGCGCUAAUACCGGAUAAGCCCUUCGGGGAAAGAUUUAUCGCCAGAGGAUCGGCCCGCGUUAGAUUAGCUUGUUGGUGAGGUAAUGGCUCACCAAGGCUACGAUCUAUAGCUGGUCUGAGAGGAUGAUCAGCCACACUGGGACUGAGACACGGCCCAGACUCUUACGGGAGGCAGCAGUGGGGAAUCUUGGACAAUGGGCGAAAGCCUGAUCCAGCCAUGCCGCGUGAAUGAUGAAGGCCCUAGGGUUGUAAAAUUCUUUCGACGGGGAAGAUAAUGACGGUACCCGUAGAAGAAGCUCCGGCUAACUUCGUGCCAGCAGCCGCGGUAAAGUCUGUACU